UACGUAGGGGGCAAGCGUUGUCCGGAUUUAUUGGGCGUAAAGAGCGUGUAGGCGGUUAGGUAGGUCCGUUGUGAAAACUCGAGGCUUAACCUCGAGAUGUCGGCGGAAACCAUCUGGCUAGAGUCCGGAAGAGGAGAAUGGAAUUCCCGGUGUAGCGGUGAAAUGCGCAGAUAUCGGGAAGAACACCCGUGGCGAAGGCGGUUCUCUGGGACGGUACUGACGCUGAGACGCGAAAGCGUGGGGAGCGAACAGG
rnacentral:rRNA from 1 species